GAAGUAGGAAGAAUCUAGAGAGAAUUAGACGCAAGGGGAAGGAAGAGAGCGGCAGGAGGUAACUCCAAACAACCACCAGCCACGUGAGUUUUCCGUUAGAGUGACCAAUGCCCACUCUAUUCGAUGUUGCCUGGGGACCCAGGGAGGAUUUAGGAGUACCCAGUCAUUGAGAGAGAGAGACUGUGCCUGUGUGUCUUUGUGUCUUUGUGCCUGUGUCUGUGUGCGUUUAUCUGUGGAUCUAAGGGAAUUUGGGUUAGCAUGGCCCAUUCCCAGAGCUUAAAGCAAAAAGUGCAUACAACAAAAUAGUACUAAGAACUCAGGCCUUUUGGAUAUGACACUUGUGAGUGGAAAUAUUUUUCAUACAAUGAGAAUCAAAUACUCCAGAAAUAUUCACCGAAUGCACACAUACACAUAAGGAAGAGAUGGUAAGGGUCUUCCUUUGGCAACAUGAGUUCAAAAAGAAGAUCAAAACAUAAAGAAUGUGUUUCACAGAACAAAAUGUAGAUGUAGACGAGGCUGAACAGUGAUGUCAGAGAAAACUGGUGUUCAACAGUGUUUGGAAUGUUCAACACUGUUUGGAUGGACCAGCAAUUAUACAAAUUCCACUGUGUAUGACUUCCUGACAGUGGAAACAGUUCACUUCAAUUUUGAAAGAUAGAUGACAAGGUGCUUGAUCCAGACUUCUCAGUUGACUUGUUAUGGUGGCAGGCCCUCUCCAUUAUCUAAAGAGAGAAACCUUACUGGAAGAGAAAUGAAAAAUUUACAUCAUGCAAGAUUACAAAAAGAAAGAAAGAAAGAAAGAAAGAAAGAAAGAAAGAAAGAAAGAAAGAAAGAAAGAAAGAAAGAAAGAAAGAAAAAGAGAAAGAAAUCUGGAUAAAAGACAUAGAAGGAGAAACUCACCAAGGAACUUCUGGUACAAGCUUCAUGGGUUCUUCUGGAUCAAGCUGAUUCAUAUUUUUGUGGUUUGCUAGUGAUCUGGACUGUAGACAACAGAGAUUGGAAUUCCCCCAAGUCUAAACAGAUCUAUGUCCCCUUUGUCCUAUUAGCCAUCUUCCUCUCCUACUUGGAUGGAAGUUGAAGCACUUCAGAACCCUUAUUAGUGUAGGUUUUAAGAAGUAUAAACCUACAAUAUUGUGUUUGUAAGGACUGUUCAAAAAAGCCAGUUCUUCAGCAAAGAAAACUUAAAGGCAAUACCAACCCAGGGAUUAAUUGGAAAGGAGGCAGAGUUGUGGACAAGGAUAAAGUUGGGCCCAGAACAACUGUAAGGAUUUUUACUUUUACCUCAAUAGUAGCAAGCAACCACUGAUAUUCUCAAAUACUACAAGAUGUGAUGCACUUAGUUCAUGUGUGUAUGUGUGCGUGUGUAUGUAUGUAUGUGUAUGUGAAAGAGAGAGAGAGAGAGAGAGAGAGAACUUGAUUCUUCACCUUGCCAUCAAGAUCUGUUUCAAGACGAUCCUUUCUGAGGAGUACUGUGAUGGAAAUGCUGAACAACUUGAAGAAUAAAGAGGCAAUGUGCAGGAUGUGCUGCUCUCGGGUCACAGUAAAUAUUCAAUUUCUUAACACAAGAGUAUGUGCGAUUUAAUCCAACAAAGCAAGUAUCCUUGCACUUCUGUAAGAUGGAUCAUUUCAGUCUUGCUCUGGAUCAUGGCGUUUCAUUUCGCGCUUAUCUUGUAGAAUCCGUUCGUAUUUAGCUUCCGUCUUCUCUGAAGCAGCAUUUGAUGGAAAGGAUGAAAAGACAGAUAAAUGCCAGUGCUGUCAUUCAGAAGGAACUUGUCUGGAAUGCAGGAUACACGCUGAUUCAUAAUCUCCCAGUGUUCAGCUCCCACGGGCAUUCUCACAUGACUAUGCACUCAAGAUCACAGGAAUUACUUUGCUAAAGGUAUGAGAAGUGGAAGAUGUUUGAGAAGCUCUGAUCUAUAAGAAGGGUACUUAUGAGCUCAUGGGGUGAGACUUCAACAAAAGCAAAACAACAUCAACAAUAAAACACCGUGAAAACCUAUUAAAGGCAUUGUGCACCCGGUGAACAUUCUACAGAAUGCCUGCCCUGGAGUCUGCUGUUACACGUGCCGUUGCAUGGUUACAGGAGAAUGCUUAAAGUAAGAAAUUGAAUUAAAGCUUCAUGCUGUUUAGAUAUUGCUAAAACUAUAUAGAGUAUAUAUCUUCACGGAAUCUUUGAUGCUGCAAAAUGGCUAUUUGAUUUUCUUUAAGAAGAUGAAAAAGAUUGUGGGGAAUACUGAGACAAUAGGAAGGCUGCAAACAUUGGUUAGAAGAUUGAGAAAGACUACAUCAGAGAUUCAAGAAAUCUGCUUUGCGAUUUGGCAUCCUAGAAAUAUGGGAGUGGUUA
rnacentral:lncRNA from 1 species